GACAGAGGGUGCAAACGUUGUUCGGAUUUACUGGGCGUAAAGCGUGUGUAGGCGGCUCCGCAAGUUGGAUGUGAAAUCCCACGGCUCAACCGUGGACGUGCAUCCAAAACUGCGUCGCUAGAGUCUCGGAGAGGAAGGUGGAAUGCUUGGUGUAGAGGUGAAAUGCGUAGAUAUCAGGAGGAACACCGGCGGUGUAGACGGCUUGCUAGACCAUAACUGACGCUGAGGCACGAAAGCGUGGGUAGCAAACAGG
rnacentral:rRNA from 1 species